rnacentral:rRNA from 1 species
GUAGGGAAUAUUGCGCAAUGGGGGAAACCCUGACGCAGCGACGCCGCGUGGGUGAUGAAGGCCUUCGGGUCGUAAAGCCCUGUCGGAGGGGAAGAAGGGUUGGCGCUCGAAUAGGGCGUUGACUUGACGGUACCCUCAAAGGAAGCACCGGCUAACUCCGUGCCAGCAGCCGCGGUAAUACGGAGGGUGCAAGCGUUGCUCGGAAUCACUGGGCGUAAAGGGCGUGUAGGCGGUCUCGUAUGUCUGACGUGAAAGCCCCGGGCUCAACCCGGGAAGUGCGUUGGAAACUGCGAGACUAGAGUCUCGGAGAGGAAGGUGGAAUUCCAGGUGUAGCGGUGAAAUGCGUAGAUAUCUGGAAGAACACCGGUGGCGAAGGCGGCCUUCUGGACGAUGACUGACGCUGAGACGCGAAAGCGUGGGGAGCAAACAGGAUUAGAUACCCGGGUAGUCC